GAAGAGAAGAACAUAAGGGGCAGCGAAGCGAAGGGGUGAUGUUGAAAAGCCCAAGCUCAGAGGGAGCUGGAGGAGGAAGACAAGGAACACAGCGGCCUGAAAAGGGAGGAAGAAGAAAGUGGAGGCAUCUGGCCAGCAGGUGUGCGCUCUGUGGGUUCACCCAGGUCCUCACACAGACAGCUAUCUGAGGGGCUGCAAGGGAGGAAAAGCAGGGGGCGAAGUCAGCAAGGCUGAAAGAGAAAAAAGAAACACCAAAGCCCACAGCACUCCAGACUCGGAUGGGAACUAAACCACUUCUCCAUCCUGCUGACCAUAAACUGUGUGACCUGUCAGCCUGCAGAAUCACAUGAGCCAAUGAACUCCUCAGCAAAAACCUUGAAUCUCAUUGGUUUUGUUUCUCCAGAGAUCCUGGAUGUAUCUGCUGCUAUGCGUAUGUAUAUGUAUAUGCUGCUAUGUGCUAUCAUCUACAGGGGCGUAAUGCCUCUACUGGUCUCAGGAGACAAGACCUUCAAGUAACACAUGGUACCCUUGUAGGUUUUCUUCGGUUACUGCUAACCCUCAAAGCAAACAGUCUAAGAAGAGCUUUCUUUCUCAGAAAAGCUAUCUUUAGUAUCUCUUAGA
ensembl:processed_transcript Gm20616 predicted gene 20616